GGGACAGUGGUGGUGUCCGUGCAACCCUUGAGAACACUAUAUGGGUCAGUUUAUCUGCUUGUCAAUGAAACCAUCAAGUCCCUGAGAGCAGAAGCUAAAACUCUUCUUAUCCUCAGGUUUGGCAUAGCAUGUUGGGACCGGAAGAGAACGAGCUACCUCUUAAUACAAAUCAGAAGUGAGAGUUUUGCUGACGUUUCCCGGGCUUCUUCGAACACCCUGAAGGAUGCGUGCCGUCACCGUGGUUUUCUACGUGGCUGGAAUGUGGCUUAAUGCUGUUUGGGAAAGUUUUUCUACAUCUGUCCCCGCUUGUGUGCAAUGUGCUAACCGGGAGACCUUCCGUGGUGUCCCCGUUUCCGAAGUUAAUUUGCUAAACAGCUGCUCUAAGAAAAUGGUCCAGAUGGUUCCUGACAUGGAGAGAUAAUAAAUAAGUGGUCCUUUCCGCUUGA